GGAGACGUGGCCGAGUGGUCUAAGGAGCCGCACUAACGCGGAGCGCCCCUCAAAAGGCGCCAUCCGUUCGAAUCGGAUCGUCUCCGCCA
rnacentral:tRNA from 1 species